rnacentral:rRNA from 1 species
AACUCGAUCUCAAAUCAAGUAAGACUACCCGCUGAACUUAAGCAUAUCAAUAAGCGGAGGAAAAGAAACUAACAAGGAUUCCCCUAGUAACGGCGAGUGAAGCGGGAUGAGCUCAAAUUUAAAAUCUGGCUGGUUUACUAGUCCGAAUUGUAGUUUAUAGAAGCGUUUUCGGUGGCAGCCUGGGUAUAAAUCCUUUGGAAUAGGGUAUCAUAGAGGGUGAGAAUCCCGUCUUUGACUCAGUGCAUGCUACUAUGUGAUACGUUUUCAAAGAGUCGAGUUGUUUGGGAAUGCAGCUCAAAAUGGGUGGUAAAUUUCAUCUAAAGCUAAAUAUUGGCGAGAGACCGAUAGCGAACAAGUACCGUGAGGGAAAGAUGAAAAGAACUUUGAAAAGAGAGUUAAACAGUGCGUGAAAUUGUUGAAAGGGAAACGUUUGACACCAGUUAUGCGGGUGGAAAAUCAGUCUUUUGCAAUGGGGAGUUGUGGGCGUUCAGACCGCAAGGCUGGCGUUUGCUUCAUCUUUGUUGUAAGUGAUGCACUUUUUCAUUUGCAGGUCAACAUCAGUUUGCUUUGCUGGACAAAACCCCAAGGGAAGGUGGCAGCUUAGGCUGUGUUAUAGCCCUGGGGCGAUACGGUGGAGUGGACUGAGGUUUCGCAGUGUGUGCUCUCGGGCAAGGCUGACUGGGUGCUAUGGGAUCGUUCGGCGUACAAUGCAUGCAUUUUGCGUCGUGUCUUUUUCAUACUCGCUCAACUCGGCUCUUCCACACUUAGGAUGUUGACUUAAUGGUUUUAAACGACCCGUCUUGAAACACGGACCAAGGAGUCUAACAUAUAUGCAAGUGUUUGGGUGGCAAACCCAUGCGCGUAAUGAAAGUGAACGUAGGUGCGAUCCGCAAGGUGCAGCAUCGACCGAUCUUGAUAUUUUUGGAUAGAUUUGAGUAAGAGCAUAUAUGCUGGGGACCCGAAAGAUGGUGAACUAUGCCUGAAUAGGGUGAAGCCAG